AAUGGGCGAAAGCCUGACGCAGCCACGCCGCGUGAGUGAUGAAGGCCUUCGGGUCGUAAAACUCUGUCGGGAGGGACGAAGGGGCAACCCUGACGGUACCUCGCAAGAAAGCACCGGCUAACUCUGUGCCAGCAGCCGCGGUAAUACAGAGGGUGCAAGCGUUGCUCGGAUUUAUUGGGCGUAAAGCGCACGCAGACGGUAUGGAAGGUCGGACGUGAAAUCCCUGGGCUCAACCUAGGAACUGCGUUCGAAACCACCAAACUAGAGUUCGGAAGAGGGAGGCGGAAUUCCUGGUGUAGAGGUGAAAUUCGUAGAUAUCAGGAGGAACACCAGCGGCGAAGGCGGCUUCCUGGUCCGAUACUGACGUUCAGGUGCGAAAGCGUGGGUAGCAAA
rnacentral:rRNA from 1 species